CAACGAAAUUAGUACUCCCAACUUUCCUAUAUUAAGAAACCCCCAAAGGACCCAAACCCUAACCCCGCCAUGAGAGACGAAGCCGAGAAUCGAAGCAACGUCAACAACAAUCCGGAGAAGAAGAAGAAGAAAACCGACGGCCAGUUCGAGUUCUGCAGAGUCUGCAGGCUGAACCACGACCAAGGCCGUCGCCACAAGUACUUCCCCAACCACGCCAAGUCUCUCUCCUCCCUCCUCUCUCGCUUCCAGGAAAAGCUCUCCGACGUCCGCUUCUUCCUAAAAAACCCCAGCCCUCUCCGCCCCGAGCACGCCUCCCGCAACCGUCUCUGGUGCGUGUUCUGCGAUUCCGACGUCGUUGAGGCCGGCAGCUCUUUCGCAUGUGGUAAUGCAAUCAAUCAUCUGGCAAGUGCCGAGCAUUUGAAGAAGUUAAAGAGUUUUAUGUGGAAGCACGGAGGUGGGAUGGAGAAACUGGAUUCCUUCAGGCUUUCUGAGACAGAUUUAGCAAAGUGGGACAAAAAGUGCACGUCACUGUUGAGUGAAGCUGCUAGUGAAGGAUCGCGUGCACCUUUAAUUGGGCCUUCAAAUGAUAUCCACAAUGAACUGAACUCUGAAUGUAUAGAUAGUUUUCAAGAAAAUACUAACCACUUUCUUGGAUCAAAAUUUUCAAAUAGUGUUAUGCCUUUACAAAGCUAUACGAAUGAGAGAUGUCAGGUUUCCCAUUCAGAAAUAUCUGAUGUCAAGAAGGUUGGCCCUCUUCCCCAUGAUGCUAAUGCAUAUUUGCCUGCGGGCACACAAUAUGAUACACAUUCAUGGGCUCCGAAGUAUUUAACAGGUUACAUGGAUAGCCAACAACCUAUGGUUUUUAAUGGCGGGAAUUUCGCAGCCAAUUUUUAUCCCAGUAGUGAAUGGAUGUACCAGGCACAUCCAGAUGAAAGAAUGGUUAAUGGAGAGAGCAGUUCUCAGGGGUUGCAUAAUCUCACUCAGAUCUCUGCGGCAGUUCAAGAAGGAGCUAAAGGAAAUGUGCAUUCUGGGGCACCUCCUCCCUGGUUUGAUGCAACUGAAGAAAAUCUAAGAAACAGUAAACUAACAGACGGACUAGGAAAGAAUAACCUUGCUUCUUCUCUCAAAAAGUCGGGGAAGUCCCAGAAAUUGAAUCCAAAGCGAGUGGGAGCUGCUUGGGCUGAAAAGAGAAAGAUUGAGCUGGAGAUGGAGAAGCGAGGGGAGAUUGCCACUGAUAAUUUUGACGUUAACUGGCUACCUAAUUUCGGCCGAGUUUGGCAAUCUGGUAGCCGAAAGGAAUCUAGAAAAGAAUUUCAGGUGGAGAACAAAAACUCCCCAAAGGGUGAAACUCAGUCAGAGACAUUGAUCGAGAUACAGCCUUAUGUUAGCAAACGAAAGCGAACAGAGGUGGAGCAAUGAUACUUGACAAGCUUCGAAUUGGAGAUACAGUGGGGGCAAAGAUUUUGUUAUGAAUAGGAAGGUAAUGGACGGAUUCACCUGGAAUGCAUCAACUCGGUUGCCUUUAGUCAUUGCCAAUGGAGUUCAUUUGGUGAUACACGAGUGUAUAUGUUCAUCUGACUUUGAAAUUAGCGCAGUUGAGAAAAGCUGAGAUCCCUUUCUGUUUUUUCCCCAAAUCUAAGGAAUCUGAGUGAGGAAAGUACAAUGGUUUGCUCUUGUUUCAGUUUUUGGGUGCCUUUUGGGAUUUUCCUGUGGAUGCCGAAAAUGAAAAGGCUCAUUUGGUGCAGAAUGAAUUUCCUCAAGGCAUUGCUCAACAGGUGGAAAUAUAAAGAACAUAAAUGGCCCUUGCCACGUUCCUUAACAAGCCCUCUGCCACUUUGUGCUGCCUUCUGACACUCCGGAGUGUAUGAUGACAACUUUACCCGCAGGAGUAUAUAAUGACAACUUCCAGGGGCUCAUGCCCGAUUAUGAGACUGCUUGUUGGAUGUCCGAGGCACCUUGCUCCGACCUGAGCUAUGCAACAAGAAGACCCCCAUGGAACCUUGCUGGAACUGCUUGACAAGAAUUAUUGAUACAUGUGGUUUUGAAAUUGACUAAUGUUGGGAAUGUGCCUAUCGGUCAUCAGAUGCUCCUAAAUCUACCAUCCCAAUGCUCUUUUCCGGGAUGGCUCGACAACAGCCUCCAAUGGCAUAAGUUAUGUCCAGCCUAGUACAUGAGACCAAAGUUAUGAAUCUCGUACUGUAUCAGCCGGUACGUACCGAUAUUGUCCAAAUCCGUUACCCUCUAAUUUCGUGCCGGAUAUGGAUACUCCCUCAUACCCUUCCCUUCAUCCGUUAUGGGAUACAGAUUUGCUCAACUUGGUACGAGGAUUCAUCAGAACCCCCAAAACAUUCUCAUUCGAAACAUCAUGGAACCUCAAAGCUUUCCCAAGCCCAUACUUUUGCUUGAUGAGGAGAUCAUCCAACUAAGUUACAGUAGCAGCAGGAGGGAGAGAGAGAGCGCUUUGUGUGGGUCAGUCUCGGACUCGUCGGCGAAAAAGUCAAGCUACUCUUUGAUUCGAGUCAUAUUGAAUGAAAUAUAUACCAUUGGUUGAUAUGGGUUAUUGAAUUCACUAAUGAUGUAUUGACAAGCUUACAGUGACGACCAAGCAGUUGGUCAACAUUUCCCAGUUGUAUUUUUUUAAACGUCUCUUUGCUCAAAUUAGAAGUAUACUUCUCAUAACCUUGACCUUAUCUAACCUCUCUUCUGAGUUCUGAGGAUUACAGUCCAGUUUCAGUUUAGAUCUGCUAGAUUCCAAGAUGAAUU